UACGUGGGGUGCGAGCGUUAAUCGGAAUUACUGGGCGUAAAGCGUGCGCAGGCGGAUUGUUAAGCAAGAUGUGAAAUCCCCGGGCUUAACCUGGGAAUGGCAUUUUGAACUGGUAGUCUAGAGUGUGUCAGAGGGGGGUGGAAUUCCACGUGUAGCAGUGAAAUGCGUAGAUAUGUGGAGGAAUACCGAUGGCGAAGGCAGCCCCCUGGGUCGACACUGACGCUCAUGCACGAAAGCGUGGGUAGCAAACAGG
rnacentral:rRNA from 1 species